rnacentral:rRNA from 1 species
GACGAACGCUGGCGGCGUGCUUAACACAUGCCAGUCGAACGGAAAGGCCCUGCUUUUGUGGGGUGCUCGAGUGGCGAACGGGUGAGUAACACGUGAGUAACCUGCCCUUGACUUUGGGAUAACUUCAGGAAACUGGGGCUAAUACCGGAUAGGAGCUCCUGCUGCAUGGUGGGGGUUGGAAAGUUUCGGCGGUUGGGGAUGGACUCGCGGGUUAUCAGCUUGUUGGUGGGGUAGUGGCUUACCAAGGCUUUGACGGGUAGCCGGCCUGAGAGGGUGGCCGGCCACAUUGGUACUGAGAGACGGCCCAGACUCGUACGGGAGGCAGCGGUGGGGAAUAUUGCACAAUGGGCGGAAGCCUGAUGCAGCAACGCCGCGUGCGGGAUGACGGCCUUCGGGUUGUAAACCGCUUUCGCCUGUGACGAAGCGUGAGUGACGGUAAUGGGUAAAGAAGCACCGGCUAACUACGUG